rnacentral:lncRNA from 1 species
CUCUCAUCUUAUAUAAUUUGAAAAAACCAUUGAUAGUACAUUAUAUUUCCGUCAUACCAAAGUUAUGAAAUUUCUAUUAAUAUAUCCUUCUGUUCUUAAGUUAUUGAAAUUAUGACAGAUACAAAAAAAGAACAAAACUUUCACUAGUCAGAUGACUCUGCUUUCAUAUACUUAAAUACAUACAUGCAUGUAGUACAUAGUUAUGUAAAUAUAUAGAGGUGAAUACAUACAUAUGUAUGUAGGUACAUGUGUAUUGUAAAGAUAUUUCCGCCACACGAAAAUAGCGAUGAGCAAGUGAGCAUUAUUCAUCGCCCGCCAAGCCCACUCACACCGAUACUCACUCGCACUCACACACAGACACUCACUCACUCGAUGGCCGGGGAGCGAUUCAGAAUCUUCUGUUCCGCUCUUCUCGUAUCGGUGAUGUUGGAUUCUGUUCUGUUCGGUUUGGUUCGGAUCGGAUGGGUUAUAUUUAUAGCUUUUUGUCGAUGUUCUCCAUAAAUAGCAAAACCGUCGGCCUGCCCUGCAAAAUGCACACCAACUCAAAGAAACUACUAGACUUUGCUUCUUCCUUUUUGUAUAGUUAAAGAAACUUUUUAAAAUUGAAUAUUUAGACAGGAUACACAGCACAAAAUUUGUAUGGUGUUUUCUCAAGGUGUUUUUGGAGCGGUUUUUGAAUAUACAAUUCCAGGAUUCAAUCCUUUUUUCGUAGCACAACGCGUGUAAAAUUUGUCAAAUGAUUGAUCUGACUUUUAGAGCCAGAGGUUUUAGAUAUGAUAAACAAUACGGCAGGAAUGGGCCGGAAAAGUGCCGAUCUGAACGGGUCGACAACAGAAUCGGUAAUGCACUAAAGGAUGCAAAAAAUAUUCUCAAAUUAAUUCUUGGCGCUGCUCGGCCCGCUGACGCUUCGGUUUGGCCUCUGCCUCUUAGUUUAUUUCUUUUUAUUUUUAUUUUUGUAUGGUCUGUUAUUUUUUUUUAUAUUUUGUUGGCUGUACCGGAGAUGCGGCCAUCGUUGGGAUCGGAUCGGGUUGAGAACGCGCCUCACAGCCUCCCGAUUGCGUUCGCGAUCGCGAUCGCGAUCGCCUCCGAAGAACUUUCAUUUCGUGUAUGUAAGAGUAUUAUGUACAUAUUUAUAGCUUUGUCUCGUCUUCUUGUCUUGCCAUGCCCUGCCUUCUAUACAUAUAUGUUUAUGUAUACGUACUCUUUUGUACAGCUCGUAUAUAUAUGGCUGUGCAUAUAUGUAUGUAGCCAAAGAUCGGCAUAUUUGCCUGCCCAAAAUACUUACGCCGAUGCUGCUCUGGCCGUUGUCUGCCUGGCCGAUCCAUCGCCGAUCCACUGCGCAGGCGCAGAACACUCGGAGAUUGGCCCUGUCUAUACUUAGAACUGGCUAUAUGCUACGAUACACGGAAGGCCGCCCGAUCGUCGAACUGUUGGCUAGAUGGCAUCUCCACCGGCUCCCGUUGCCAUCGGCCAUCGGCACAGAAAUAACAUCCAUCCCAACCCAGUCCGACACACAUACAUUCUAGCCCAUUACGAGGCGGCAGCAUGUUCGGCUUUCUGGC